rnacentral:rRNA from 1 species
GACGAACGCUGGCGGCGUGCUUAACACAUGCAAGUCGAACGGAAAGGCCCUGCUUUUGGGGGGUGCUCGAGUGGCGAACGGGUGAGUAACACGUGGGGAACCUGCCCUUGACUUUGGGAUAACUUCAGGAAACUGGGGGUAAUACCGGAUAGGAGCUCCUGCUGCAUGGGGGGGGGUGGAAAGUUUCGGCGGUUGGGGAUGGACUCGCGGCUUAUCAGCUUGUUGGUGGGGUAGUGGCUUACCAAGGCUUUGACGGGUAGCCGGCCUGAGAGGGUGACCGGCCACAUUGGGACUGAGAUACGGCCCAGACUCCUACGGGAGGCAGCAGUGGGGAAUAUUGCACAAUGGGCGGAAGCCUGAUGCAGCAACGCCGCGUGCGGGAUGACGGCCUUCGGGUUGUAAACCGCUUUCGCCUGCGACGAAGCGUGAGUGACGGUAAUGGGUAAAGAAGCACCGGCUAACUACGUG